CAAAAUAUAAAACACGCGCUACUCUCCUCUCAUGUUAGUUUCGAUUAUAUUGCGCCCUCCUCAUUUAUAUGUCGAGAUGUAUGGUUUGCUUUAUAUCGACCACCAUGGAAGUUUCCAUUUUAUUGUGUUGCGUGAAAUUCAUAUGAAGUUGUGAUGAAUUUAACUAUUUUUGCAUAACUAAAUAGUAUUUGUGAAUAUGUGUUCCUAAGAUAUCUAAUAUAAAAAUUUGUUUAAUCUUUUAUGAUUAUGAUUAUCAAGAACUUUAGUAGAUAGAAAACGUUUAAAGAUAACUCACACCUAACCCAACACUUCUAAUAGUUGGAAAUUUAUUAUUAGUGUUUAUAAUUAUCAAAAAUAUACAGUAUUGUGGUAUAUAUAAAGAUCAUACAGUAUUUUAGCAGAUACCUUGUUGUACAUAUAGUGGACAUGGAUAAAGAAGUUCCUGAAGAAAUGCCUGAAUCAAGCAUGACAUCUCAAGAUGCAACAGUUUUACUUGAUCAACAGAGCAUGUUGGAAGUAACUAUAGAUAGCCAUAAUAAACCAUCUAAUAGAAGUCAUUGUAGUGAUACGAUGGAAGAAGAAAUUGUAUCUGCAGAUGAUACAAAUGUAUAUAAUGGUUCUACCACUGAAGAUUGUGUCACGGAAUCUAAUGCAGAUAGUAUAGCAGCUACAGAUGAUUUAAGACAGUUUGAUGUUUUGGAUGACUUAGAACGUCAUCCAGAUCAAAAUUGUUCUGAUAUGGAUUCAGAUACAAAUGAAAGUAUGGAUUCUGAUGUACCAGAUGAAGAAAUUGAAGCCAUGCUUGAAGAAGGUUUACCAGAAGAAUUUAAAGGCAAAAGAAAAGACAAAAAGGAUAGUGUACCAUAUGAAGAAAAAGAAAAAUUGGUCUUGGAUGAAAUUGGUCAUAAUCAUUUUGAUGUACUCCCAGAAGGUUGGGUUCAAGUCACACAUAACAGUGGAAUGCCUUUGUAUUUACAUAAACAAAGUAGAGUUUGUACUCUUGCAAAACCAUACUUCCUUGGACCUGGGAGCGUAAGAAAACAUGAAGUGCCUGUUAGUGCAAUACCUUGCCUUCAAUAUAAGAGAGCUCUUCAUGAAGAAGAGGAGGAAAGGAAAAAGCAGAAGGAACGUGAUCCAAAUACAGAAGUUUGUAGUCUUCCUAGUGCAAAAAUAGAAACAAUUCAAGAAAAUCGAGCAGCUCAUUCAUUAGAUAGUGAACAAUUAAGAAACUAUUGCCAAUCGCUUUUCCGUUUUAAAGCUAUUAAAGUAAUGAGGUUUCAAUCGUGGUCAGCAAGGAGAAAAUUUACGAAAAAUAAAAAACAUCGUAAACAACUUGAAAGACCAACUUUACCUGAUGGAACUAAAUUAAUAACAUUUCCGGUUAGUAGUUCUAAUUUAGCAGGAAGUAGUGGUAAUGCAACUGGAGAUGAUAGCAGUGGACAGAGACCUCCGAAGCAUUGGAUAAUGAAUCCUUCAGGCAAAAGUUAUGUUUGCAUACUUCAUGAAUAUGUACAACAUGCACUUAAAAAACAACCGACUUAUAAGUUUAAAGAAUUAGAAAAUGCUGCAACACCAUAUUCUGCUGUUGUUUGUAUUAAUGAUAUGGAAUAUGGAAGCGGUUUUGGUAGCAGUAAAAAACAAGCGAAAGCAAAUGCUGCUCGAAAAACCCUAGAAAUAUUGAUUCCCCAAAUGAGAGAUAAAAUUUCUGGCGAUAAUGGCGGUGAUACAGCUUCGGGUAAUAACAGUCGUAUGAUCAAAGCGUCCAGAGCAAAUUCUGAUGCAGAUUUAUCGUUUUUCGAUGAAAUAUCUAUCACCGAUCCUCGAGUCGCAGAAUUCUGUGCAAAAACAACCGAACCAUCGCCACAUGCUAUUUUAAUUACUUGUCUUCAACGAAAUUAUGGUCUCGGUGACAUGCAUAUUAAUUAUUCAGUAAAUACAUUGAAGCAUCAACGUAAUGAAUUCACAAUGCGCGUUGGAAAACAUGAGGCUACUGUUGUAUGCCGUAACAAAAAAGAUGGCAAACAAAGAGCAGCACAAGCUAUUUUACAACUUAUGCAUCCUCAUAUUCAAUCUUGGGGCUCCUUGUUAAGAUUAUAUGGAUCUCGAAGCGUUAAGUCUUUUAAAGAGAAAAAACAAUUAGAACAAGAAAUUACGUUGUUACAAGGUAAAGCUGCAGUAAAUCAGCCAAAUCAUGCUAUUUUAAGUAAACUUAGACAAGAAAUGCGCAAACUAGCUGAACAAAGACAGGCAAUACAACCUAUUGGUAAGUUUGUACCGCCAGAUUUACCAACUGGAUCUGCAGCUAAUUUGAACAACGUAGAUUUAUAACAUACUAGUCGGCUGUAUAUAACCUAUGAAUAUUAAUUUAUUUUUCAAAGUUUAAAAGAAAACGGUAUUCUCCAUUUAUUUCAUAUCUGAUUUUAAAAGUAAGCAUGACAAUUUUACUGAUGCUGAUUCUUAUACCAUUAGGUGUUUAAUAUUUUGACAUUUUUAUUUUUGCGUCCUAAAAUUAAUAUUGUAUAAUUAUUAAUUAAUGAUGUAAUGGGAUGUUGAUGAAGAAUAAAUGAAAAUUGAUUUUUGAGGUGUAAAUUGAAAAAUUGAAGUUUGUCUGAACAUAACCGAAAUGUCACAGAAUACUACCUCAAUUGUCUUAGUUUUCCACAUAUCGUUUUUUCCUAAUUCUUCUGUUGUGACAGGUUUCUACUAAAAUUUGUCAUAUCGAGGAUGACGGAUGUAUUUGUUAAAAGUGAAUAAACAAUUAUAUAGUUUGAUGUUUUCAGAAAAAAUCUGCGUCCUAUUUUAAUUCAAUAUCUGAUUUGGUGAUUGUAUACAUAUAUUUGCUGCGAUUAACAAUUAGUUGCUGACGACAUGUAUAAAAUAUGUAUAACGCAAUAAUGUAAGACCUAUUUCACGUUAAAAGAAGAAAUGAAUUCACUUGCAGAUAAGAGGCUACCUUUUAGAAUAUAUAUGUAUAUGUUUUUCGCAAUGAAAAGGAUUAUUCUUAAGUAUAACAGAAGAUUAAUAGCAUAUUUUAAUAAUUAUUAAACAUCUUUAUAGAACAUAAUCGUUUAUUUCCAAACAAUUAAUUACAAUGAAAUAUAUUUCAGUUCCAUAAAUAUUAAGGCAUCAAACUUGUAUAUUAUCAACAAUUAUAAUGUAUCGAAAAAGUAUUACAAUUGUUCUAAUAAAAUUACUAAUAGACUUAAUAGGAUAUACAUAAAUUGUUUAAUUAUACAUAAACUAAUUGUUUUAUAUUAUAUAACUGUUUUUCACUUUCUUUGGCACUGGUAUAUAAUUUUUUGUGAUAUUACUAUCUUUUAAUUCUAUGUUUUAUAUGAUACUUUACUAAUAAUAUUCAACAAUGUAGAAACAGAAUUAAUAAUACAAAUAUUCAAUUAUACCUCUUUAAAGCUUAACCUCUGCUGUCUGUCAGAAAUAUAACAUUGUAUAUAUUUUUAAGGUAAUUAAAAAUGGUUUCUUUUUAUUUUAUGGUAAUUAUAUCAUAUUUCAGUAAAAAAUACAAACAUUAAUGUUCAUUACGUACUCUAAAUUGUAGAUUUUAUAUCCGUGCUUUUAAUAUAGCACAUAUGCCUAAAUUAAGCUAUAAUUUGUUUAAUAGUAUGUUACAUGAUAAAUGUUUCUAUAUAAAU
rnacentral:misc_RNA from 1 species